CGGCUGUAAUGGUCAUAUUGGUUAAGGAGACGCCUGAAAAUCUUCUCCCGACUCCAGUCUCAUAUCCAUGAGAACUUCCCCCGUGGCGCCCAGCGUGAAUCUUGCGGUGGCCACCCACUCGCACGGGUAACCUGCGAUGCUGCGCCGUGGCCCUAAGCAAUGAAGAUGAUACUUGAGGGAGGCUUCACUCUGCAGAGGCAUCUUCACCGUCCGAUGGCAGGCUGGAUCACGAUCGUGGGGGGAAUGUGAGAUGGAGCGGAGAGGUGGGGAUGUCGACUCCGAUUUU
rnacentral:SRP_RNA from 15 species